rnacentral:rRNA from 1 species
GACGAACGCUGGCGGUGUGCCUAACACAUGCAAGUCGAGCGAAGUGAGUACUACGGUACGAACUUAGCGGCGGACGGGUGAGUAACGCGUGGACAAUCUACCCUGUAGACUGGGAUAACACCUCGAAAGGGGUGCUAAUACCGGAUAAUGUCGAGAAGCGGCAUCGCUUUUCGAAGAAAGGAGAGAAUCCGCUAUAGGAGGAGUCCGCGUCCCAUUAGCUAGUUGGUGAGGGUAACGGCCCACCAAGGCGACGAUGGGUAGCCGGCCUGAGAGGGUGAACGGCCACACUGGAACUGAGACACGGUCCAGACUCCUACGGGGGGCAGCAGUGGGGAAUAUUGUGCAAUGGGGGAAACCCUGACACAGCAACGCCGCGUGAGCGAAGAAGGCCUUCGGGUUGUAAAGCUCAAUAGUAUGGGAAGAUAAUGACGGUACCAUACGAAAGCCCCGGCUAACUACGUGCCAGCCGCCGCGGUAAGAC